rnacentral:lncRNA from 1 species
CCCAAUCUAACUUUCCCGUAUUUGGUAUACGCACUUGGAAAUAGGCAUAGAGAGAGAACCCAGACAAAAAAACAAGCAUCCAUAAAAUGAUGGGUGCGGUGUGUAUAAAGCCGAGGCACUAAACAAUCAAAGUAGAGCGCACCUUCAAAUAGCGUAAAAAAUGUGGUUUCAAUAUUGAAAAUCUUUGUGAUAGCCUUAAAAUAUAUUUUCAUCUUUAAUUAUAAAAUUUAAAGCUUUAAAAAUAGUACAGAUCAACCAGAUCUAUGAAAACUUGUAAAUCUUGAAAAUUGACCGUCCAAAAAGACAUUUUAAGAUGCACUAUUUCCAAAACUUGAAAUCCAUUUUUUUCUCAUAUCCGUGCAUCUUGAUGUCAAGAUGAUUAAUUUAAAGAUAUUUGGGCAUCAAAACAACCUCUUCUAGUGAAACUUUUUUACGCUAAUUGGAUUCUUUUUCCUAAAAAGAUUGCAUGGAAACUAAAAAAUAUUGGAAUUUAAGAUAGUUUCUUUCUCGAAAAGCUUUAAGAUAGUUUCUCUCUCUAAAAAUUUUAAGAUAGUUUCUCUAUCUAAAAUUUUGAGAUAGUUUCCCUUUAAAAUUUGAAAUUUGAUAUAGUUUUUCCCUCUAAAAAUUUGGAAAUAGAUUCUCUCUAAAACUUAAAACUGGAAUAGUUUCUCUCUCUAAAACUUAAACUUUGAGAUAGUUUAUCUUUCUAAAAAUAUUAAGAUUAAUU